rnacentral:rRNA from 1 species
ACGCUCGACACCUACGGGAGGCAGCAGUGGGGAAGUAUUGCACAAUGGGGGAAACCCGUGAUGCAGCGACGCCGCGUGGAGGAAGAAGGUCUUCGGAUUGUAAACUCCUGUUGUUGGGGAAACAGAGGAUGGUACCCAACAAGGAAGUGACGGCUAACUACGUACCAGCAGCCGCGGUAAUCUGAGCGGGCUGGCAAGGC